rnacentral:rRNA from 1 species
CAGAGGUUACUGCUAUCGCAGRWUCGACUAAGCCAUGCGAGUUGAAUGUUCUUCGUGAACAUGGCGGACUGCUCAGUAACACGUGGACAACCUACCCUUGGGUCCGGCAUAAUCCUGGGAAACUGGGAAUAAUUCCGGAUAGGUCACCGAUGCUGGAAUGCGCGGUGGCCGAAAGCUCCGGCGCCCGAGGAUGGGUCUGCGGCCUAUCAGGGUUGUAGUGGGUGUAACGUACCUACUAGCCUACGACGGGUACGGGUUGUGAGAGCAAGAGCCCGGAGAUGGAUUCUGAGACACGAAUCCAGGCCCUACGGGGUGCAGCAGGCGCGAAAACUUUACAAUGCGGGAAACCGUGAUAAGGGGAUCUCGAGUGCCAGCAUAUAAUGUUGGCUGUCCAGAUGCCUAAAAAGCAUCUGUUAGCAAGGGCCGGGCAAGACCGGUGCCAGCCGCCGCGGUAACACCGGCGGCCCGAGUGGUAACCGCUAUUAUUGGGUCUAAAGGGUCUGUAGCCGGCCAGGUAAGUCCCUUGGGAAAUCUGGCAGCUCAACUGUCAGGCUGCUAGGGGAUACUGUUUGGCUUGGGACCGGGAGAGGUGAGAGGUACCUUGGGGGUAGGGGUGAAAUCUUGUGAUCCUCGAGGGACCACCAGUGGCGAAGGCGUCUCACCAGAACGGGUCCGACGGUAAGGGACGAAAGCUAGGGGCACGAACCGGAUUAGAUACCCGGGUAGUCCUAGCCGUAAACGAUGCUCGCUAGGUGUCAGUCACGGUGCGACCGUGAUUGGUGCCGUAGGGAAGCCGUGAAGCGAGCCACCUGGGAAGUAUGGCCGCAAGGCUGAAACUUAAAGGAAUUGGCGGGGGAGCACUACAACGGGUGGAGCCUGCGGUUUAUUG